UAUUGUCAUCAUAAUGAUUUUUGGAGUACAAUUUUUAAUUUUUAUAAAAUCAAUUUUAUUUUGACAGAUUUUUGAUAAAAAUAUUUAAAAUUUUCGAAAUCUGUGAAAGUGUACCGGUACAAAAAAACCUUGUACCGGUACAAAACACUGUAUACCGCGGUAUUAUAUCGGUUACAGCAUUCGUUUUUCCCCCAAACUCUUUCAAAAUCCCUCAUUUCUCUCACUAAAAAUCCCAGGUGGUCUUUCUCCUUCAGAUUCACGUAUUUCCCCCCUAGAUUUGUAAGUAUUUUGCUUAGAUUUGAAGAUCUUAUCCCGGUUUUGCUAUUUUUUCAAAAAAUUUCGAGUUGAAGCAUGAUCUGCAUUUUGAUUUGUUUUUGAUGUAAUUUUUUGCUGUGAAUCAGUAUUUGGACAUAUAAUCUUGCUUCUAGAACACUUAGAUCAAGUUAUAACGCUGUAUUUUUUGCUGAUCUAUGAUCUGUACCUCAAUAUACAUGAAAUUUCGAAAUUUUUGAUAAAAUGUCAUUUUUUAUUAAAGUUUUUGCAUGAUCUGGUUAGAAAUAGCGUUAGUAUGCAUUCUAAUAUUAUUAGAAUUUUUUUCGCUAUUUUUACAGAUUUUUUCAAGAUUUUGUUCAUGCAAGGUUGAUUUUUGUAUAGAAAAAAUGGCGUUUUCGUUCGUGUUGCUAAUUUUGGUGCUGAUGGCCGCUGGUCGUGGUCGUGGACGUGGCCGCGGGCGUCGAGCGACGUCCAAAAGGACUCGUACUGCAGGCG
rnacentral:lncRNA from 1 species